UGGUGGACAGAUUUGAAGCAGUUGCACCCAGGGCACCUGGGAGCCACAGCUGGAGCGUGUCAGUCACUGAGGUGUCCUCAGUGUGGGGGUGUGAUCUGGCCUGAGGUCUCGCUCUGAGAAGUGGGCUCUUCCCAACACUUCCUCCACGGAGGGACAGUGGAGGGUGAAGUUAGAUCCGCUGCCAGAGCCGGAAGCUCCUGCACUGCCCGGGGCUCUGUUCCAUGCGGGUCCGGGAGAAGCAUGGCGUCAGCCCAUCUGGGCCAGGACCGGGUGCUGCCCUGCUCACAGCUUCCCCAUGAGGUGACGUGUGCCCUGAAGUUCCAGAGUCUCCGAGUUCGGGAGAGUCCACGUUUAGGUGACUGUUCUUCAAAUACCCACUUCUAAGGGAAGAGGCCUCAGCCAUUCCUGACACAGAGGUCUCCAUGGGGACCACAUGGCCCACCCACGUGGCCUCUGCCCAGCAGCCGGAGCCACAGAGGACACACACACCCUCCCCCACAGGUACCUGCACACCACACAUGCACUACACACCACACACACACAUCCACACCCCACACACACCACACACACACCCAUCAUACACCACAUCCACACCACAUCCACUCACACACACCCACUCACACACACACACACACCCCUCACCCCAGGCAGCAUUGAGAGUCCCGGCCCCAGCGCACUCUCCCUUGGACAGUGGAACCAGAGGGGCAGGAAGGGUGGUCUUCCACGGUGGGGACCGAGGAAGCCUCGAGGCCCUCAGAGGUGAGCGGGAUGGAGUUCAUGCUGGGAGCGCCUUGUGCUCUUUGCCACUUGUGUAAAUGUUGCUGUCGACCGGGUUCUGUCCCCACUGACUGUUCCCCCUUGGAGGGAGGCAUGGCCCCGUGACCAGCUCUGGCCAGUGGAUUUGACAGGUGAGAGGGGCCACAUCCCUGUGAAAGCAUCUGAGAGCCGAGUGUCUCCAUCUUCCCUUCCCCUGUGGCCUCGAGAGGUUGGGUCCCCAAGUAAGGCCGGUGUGGAGCAGAGACCGCCAGCCCGUGACAGACAGGGCGUGAGAACGACAAUAAGCCUUUGUGGGUUUAGGCACGGAUUUGGGGCUGUUUGUUACCACCACAUCGUUCACCCCCUCCUGCUGCUGGGUGCAGUGAAGAACCACACCCCACAAAGGCUGGACUCUCCCCUGAGACGAGUCGUGGGAUUUGGGCACGAAGCUGGCAGCGGGUCGCAGAGGUUCAUGACCAGGAGAGCAUAAACUCAGGACGGUGAUGGCCCUGGAAUGGGAACAGAACGAGACCGGGAAACUCAUUUAAUUUUCUGUCCACGCCCCCUUACACCCAUCUCUCAAAAGCUGAAGGCAACACCCGAGAGUCAUUCCCGCCCUGCUCUGCACCCCGGGAAGUUGACCCCAGGAGACUGCUUCAUCCCCACUCCCCUCCUUCUGGCUUCGAGUUGGGUUCAGCCAAUGGGAGAGCCCAACAGGACAUGGGAGGGUGGGAGGAGAGAGGCCCGGUGUGUAAACUCCACUCUCUCCUUGCCUCAGCACCUCCAGGACUAUGGCUCCACUGGGCAGCCCCCUGCUAAAGCUGUAGCCCUCUCUGGGCUCUGGUACUG
ensembl:lncRNA